rnacentral:rRNA from 1 species
AUUGAACGCUGGCGGCAUGCCUUACACAUGCAAGUCGAACGGCAGCACGGGUGCUUGCACCUGGUGGCGAGUGGCGAACGGGUGAGUAAUACAUCGGAACAUGUCCUGUAGUGGGGGAUAGCCCGGCGAAAGCCGGAUUAAUACCGCAUACGAUCCACGGAUGAAAGCGGGGGACCUUCGGGCCUCGCGCUAUAGGGUUGGCCGAUGGCUGAUUAGCUAGUUGGUGGGGUAAAGGCCUACCAAGGCGACGAUCAGUAGCUGGUCUGAGAGGACGACCAGCCAGACUGUGACUGAGACACGGCCCAGACUCCUACGGGAGGCAGCAGUGGGGAAUUUUGGACAAUGGACGAAUGCCUGAUCCAGCAAUGCCGCGUGUGUGAAGAAGGACUUCGGGUUGUAAAGCACUUUUGUCCGGAAAGAAAUCCUUGACUCUAAUACAGUCGGGGGAUGACGGUACCGGAAGAAUAAGCACCGGCUAACUACGUG